GUCAAGGGACACAGUGAUCACAGCAGCGGUGACACAGACAGGAGGUUGGGGGAGGCGCGGGCGCCACCCUUGCUGCAGGGCCUCUCCCCAACUUGGACAGCUCUGCAUCCCCAACAGGACCCCGGAAGCCAUCAAGGAGCAUCUUGGCUGCAGGUAAUUGGAAAACUUCAAAGAAGAUAUUCUAACAGCCGGACAACCAGUUGAGCCCUGAAUUGGCAACAACCAUUGGAAUCCAUGACGUGGAACUAUGGAUACAGAGGGUCCACUGCACAAAUUUCUGUGAGCUCAACAAGUUUGAAAGCUAUUGAACUAGAGGGAUCAAGCAAUGGGAAGGCCUGAAUGACAAGAAAGAGGUGUCUUGAGAAUGAUCAGCAUGACUGAAGCAAACAUUGAGGAAUGG